GCGCCGGUGGUGUACGGCACACAUCCCAUACUCAUGCGGUUUUUGUGAAAAAGUGAUGGGAAGGCUGGGGUUCGACUCCCCGCCGGUGCA